UCCUCUUCUCCCUUUUCUUAUGCACUUUUACUAUGAGCAACAUGGCACACUAUAGUACAGAUGCACACCUACAUUACAGUGAACACACAGACGUGCACACACACACACGAUAAAAUUCACCCAGCUCCAUUGCUUAUCCUCUUUGUUUGAGCUGAUUGGAUCUGUGGCGAUCACAUGUUUACCCAGAGCUCUAUCUCUUUGAGAAACCUCCGUCACGGGUAGCGGAGAGUAACGUUUGCCUCUUUUUGUGUUUUCCUUUUAUUUUGGAGACGGGCACGCACACACGGUCUUUAUGUAUAUAUGCUAAUAGGCUGGCUAACACGGUUUCACACUGUUUGUUUCUGAAAAUGAUGCAACUUGCCAGACAUCCAUUUUUUGCUGAUGUUCACAUUUUCUUUUUUUUCUUGCCUUUCUCAGGGCGGGCAUUUUGGAGAGAGAAAAUCAGAGAGAGAGAGAGAGAGAGGAAAAGGAAGAAGAAGAGGAGAGUGGUGGAGGGUGAGAGGAGGAGGAGGAGGAGGAGGAGAAGAGGCGAAAGAGGCUCGUGUUCAAAAUCCACAAAGGUUUUGUAAUAAAUGCAUCGACGACAAUAAAAACAAAAACAUUAAAGGGAGAAAAGACGUGUUUCUGUGUUAAACAAUUAGUGCUGCAGCAUUAGAGCCGAUCAGGAAGAGACAAAAGCUCGGCAGCAGCAGGGGUUUACCCCAGACACAAAGACACAAAGACAGAUGCUCUGCAGCCCAGCCAAGCUACAGUACCAUACUAGCUUCCUCUGGAGCUGCACAGAACCACAUCCACAAUCCAACUGUCUGUGGGUCUGUCAGCGAGACAAAGAGUACCGCAAUUUAAACAGAAUUUCUACGUAACCUGCCCCUAAAGCCUCCUACAGCCUCACAAAUAGUACCUGACUGGGCUGAUCUUUUUGCCUGAUUUCAAAAUGAAACCAACAUGGCUGCUCGUUUCAAACUUUCUUCCAAGUUCUGAAAACAGCCCAGCGUGACAUGUUUCUGGGAACGGGAGGCAAGACAUAAGGCCUGCAGGUGCCGCAUCUAUCUUCAUUUUGGCUCAACAACGGCCGCUUUCGAAGUUUUUCAGAGUUUCAACGUUUCUAGAGGUUUCACACCAAGGAGGGUGUGCAAAUGAGGAGUGGGUGACAUGUUCCCCCAUUCCACGAAACGCAACGGCACGCUACCAGAAUGCACUGUAAGGCUGGAUACACGGACAAUGAAAGAUCAUCAAACAGUUUUGAAAAGGCAUCCCUUGUUAGUGAGAAAGAGAGAGACAGACAAUCUACCAGGUUUUACCACACGAACGCCACAGAGUCUCGCUGAUGAGGUUAAAAGGUAACACUUCAAUCGAGCUCUUAAUGUACACUUCAGCCACAGAAACAACACCACUUUCUCUGCCGUGGCACCUCACACUUUUCAUCUCCCACCUGUUGUUUUCAUUGGAGGAAACCCUUUAAGAUCAGAGCGACCCAACAAAAACAUCAUCUGUUUUCAUGGAUAACAGUUAGCGCUGGUUUUGAAGGGAGAGAAGCAGAUAAGAUUAUAGUGUCUAAUGAGCAAUGGCCUGAGUACAUCUACCAGGAUAUACAUGUUAGAAGAAGCAGUCUGUCUCGACUUCAUCUUCGUGAUUUUGUGUUGGAUCUCUUCCAUGAGGUUUGAGAGAAAAGAACUACAUCCUAUUAUUAAUUUUCUAUAAUCACAGUGGCUCCUGACCGCUAUGAAUAAUGUCUUAAUGUGUUUUACUUGGCUUCAUGUUUUCAAGUAUCAUUGUUUUAACACUAUCUUUGAUUAUGAAUAAUCUUCUGAUGGGUUUGUGAUGGAAAAUGCGCCAUAAGAAACAUUGGGAAAUUGUACUUUGGAAGCCAUUUAAUACCUAGUUAUGUAUUUUAAAUAAAAAAUAGUAUUAAAAAUAAGUACUGUUCCUGUGUUUUGUUUUGGUCUAAUUUCCUUUUGAAUUACAUCCACAUUGGAUGAUUAAG